UACGAAGGGUGCAAACGUUGCUCGGAAUCAUUGGGCGUAAAGCGCACGUAGGCGGCAUUCUAAGUCGGAUGUGAAAUCCCUCGGCUCAACCGAGGACGUGCAUCCGAAACUGGAACGCUCGAGUAUGGAAGAGGGUCGCGGAAUUCUCGGUGUAGAGGUGAAAUUCGUAGAUAUCGGGAGGAACACCAGUGGCGAAGGCGGCUUCCUGGACACUAACUGACGCUGAGACGCGAAAGCGUGGGGAGCAAACAGG
rnacentral:rRNA from 1 species